AUAAACAAAUUGAUCAGGAAAGUAGUUUUUUCAUUUAUCAAAGAGAGGCUGUGGUUGGUGUAAGCAGCUGUUAGAUGGAAUUAUGAAAAUGACCUGUGAUUGGUUGCUGCGAGAACUUGUUUAAGCAGCAGACGGCGUGCCCUCCGUUAUUUUGGGACACUAUUAUUAAGAUAGUAGUUUAGCUAUGCAUUCCUGCAUAAUUAGAAUGGUACCGUGGGACCUCUCACUUCUAAA
rnacentral:ncRNA from 1 species